AUUGAACGCUGGCGGCAGGCCUAACACAUGCAAGUCGAACGGUAGCACAGAGAGCUUGCUCUCGGGUGACGAGUGGCGGACGGGUGAGUAAUGUCUGGGAAACUGCCCGAUGGAGGGGGAUAACUACUGGAAACGGUAGCUAAUACCGCAUAACGUCGCAAGACCAAAGCGGGGGACCUUCGGGCCUCACACCGUCCGAUGUGGCCAGAUGGGAUUAGGUAGUAGGUGGGGUAACGGCUCACCUAGGCGACGAUCCCUAGCUGGUCUGAGAGGAUGACCAGCCACACUGGAACUGAGACACGGUCCAGACUCCUACGGGAGGCAGCAGUGGGGAAUAUUGCACAAUGGGCGCAAGCCUGAUGCAGCCAUGCCGCGUGUAUGAAGAAGGCCUUCGGGUUGUAAAGUACUUUCAGCGAGGAGGAAGGCGUUGUGGUUAAUAACCGCAGCGAUUGACGUUACUCGCAGAAGAAGCACCGGCUAACUCCGUGCCAGCCGCCGCCGUAA
rnacentral:rRNA from 1 species